rnacentral:rRNA from 1 species
UCGGUGACGGCAAGCUAAUCUCUUAAAGCCAGUCUCAGUUCGGAUUGUAGGCUGCAACUCGCCUACAUGAAGUCGGAAUCGCUAGUAAUCGCGGAUCAGCACGCCGCGGUGAAUACGUUCCCGGGCCUUGUACACACCGCCCGUCACACCACGAGAGUUUGUAACACCCGAAGUCGGUGAGGUAACCUUUUGGAGCCAGCCGCCUAAGGUGGGAUAGAUGAUUGGGGUGAAGUCGUAACAAGGUAUC